rnacentral:misc_RNA from 1 species
AAGUCGUAACAAGGUUUCCGUAGGUGAACCUGCGGAAGGAUCAUUAACACGUAUCCAAACGUUAAAACAACCCUGUGAAUAUUAACGCGUGUUCUUCCAGGCAACUAAAACAGCAAUCUCUCGUAAAACAGGCGCUAAAGAAUUACAGAUAUUGAUUUGAGAGAUUUCUGUCACGUACGUUCGACGCUGGAAUCGAGCACUAGAUAAAGCACCCUGGUACCCUCUGAUUUAUCACCAAAGUGAUGGUCAGGGGUAACGCAGUCAACGAUCGCUGUAGGUCCACACGACCGGCGACCGGGGUGGAGGCGAAAGCCCCUACGUCACCCCUAUGUACCCUCCGGGACUUGGCGAAAGCUGACUCCGUCAUAAAUCGAACAAUGGAUAUCUUGGUUCGC